ACCUUGGUCUAAUCAGAGUCAAGCAGCAUGUAUCCUGAUGUACCUCUGAAAGACCCCCAGAGUGGGGAGACCCUCACUCAAGUCUCAGGAUGACGCGACCCCCCAAGAACUCACGUAAGACC
rnacentral:pre_miRNA from 14 species